AGUGAACGCUGGCGGUAGGCCUAACACAUGCAAGUCGAACGGCAGCACAGUAAGAGCUUGCUCUUACGGGUGGCGAGUGGCGGACGGGUGAGGCAUACAUCGGAAUCUACUUUUUCGUGGGGGAUAACGUAGGGAAACUUACGCUAAUACCGCAUACGACCUACGGCUGAAAGCAGGGGAUCUUCGCACCUUGGGCGAUUGAAAGAGCCGAUGCCGGAUUAGCUAGUUGGGGGGGUAAGGGCCCACCAAGGCGACGAUCCGUAGCUGGUCUGAGAGGAUGAUCAGCCACACUGGAACUGAGACACGGUCCAGACUCCUACGGGAGGCAGCAGUGGGGAAUAUUGGACAAUGGGCGCAAGCCUGAUCCAGCCAUACCGCGUGGGUGAAGAAGGCCUUCGGGUUGUAAAGCCCUUUUGUUGGGAAAGAAAAGCAGCAGGUUAAUACCCCGCUGUUCUGACGGUACCCAAAGAAUAAGCACCGGCUAACUUCGUG
rnacentral:rRNA from 1 species